GUCUGUAGAACCUGACGGAUCCGCCACGAUGCUGAUGCUGUGGACAUUUGCAGUGCUGCUGGGAGCAGUAGCUGGUAUUAGUGGUCAAACAGUUGAGAAGUUGAGAAGCUAGAAUGAAUGAGUCCCUCCAUGGAGCUGGGCAGAGACACCAUGUUUCCCUGAGGCAGAAGUGAGGACCAGCAGGUUGUCUGCAGCAGAAGUCUUAUCCCCUGAGACUGUUUUGUGUGAGCAGGAGAGCAUUUGGGAAAGCAGAGGAAGAAAAUCUGCCACAAGAUGAAAUUUAACUCAUAUUUUUCCUGAGAGAGACCAUUAAAAGGACAUUCUGGCUAAACUAACAUCCUUGAAACACUGGGUGGUUUUAGGACAAGAAGUCUGCUAUGGUAGACUCUGCUGCUUCACUGACAAUUCUCUAAAUGGAAGAACUUUGGAAAGACCUCUCAAGAGUGUUGCCCUGGUCUCUAAAAUUGGUCUGCACCUGCUUCCCCCUGAGCACUAAUGAGAGCCACAAUAGUGUUUCGACUUGUUGUAUGCUCGUGUAAAAGAGUACUACCGACAGUAAAUCGUUUAAAAUGCGAUGCUUAUUCACAUCACAUACGUAGAAGAAGGGGACCCUAGGAUCAAAGGUGUAGACUCUCAAGGCCACUGGCUGGGCACUUUCACACCACAUCACAGUAUAGUGAACAAUAUCAUGUGGUGGGAAGCGUGUAAGACAGAGGCGAGGAAAGGUAGACGAAGGCACUAUGUAACAACAAAUUUGAAGUUUUGCUUUCUUUAGAAAACAUUCAAAUAUUAUGAGAAUGUGUUUUCGUUUUCAUCCCAGGUGUGGGGUGUGGGGCUGCUUCAGAUUGUCCACAGCAGCUGACUAUGAUUUGCCUCGUUCUCUGGUGGGCAUGAUUUUGCCAGCUGCAGAGAGCAAAAUGUGGUUUUGUGACGUUUGGAAUUCUGGGGACUUCUCAGAGAGUGUACAAAUGCUAGGGCCAUUAGAGGCAGGGAAGAUUGGUGUUGCUGUUGCUGGUUGCUGUUGGUCACAAUUGGUUAAGGAGAUAUGCACACACCAGAAAGAAGAAGAAAUUAGAUGUCCUGACUGUGGAGAUCAAACUUGCCCUGACUCCAUACUGCUAAUCAGCAGGACAUAGCCUAGUAAUGUGGCCUGCUUUCCCUUCUAGC